rnacentral:lncRNA from 1 species
CCGGAGCCGGUUACUGGAAGGCCACCGGAGCUGAUAAGCCAGUGGGAAAGCCCAAGACUUUAGGGAUAAAGAAGGCGUUAGUGUUUUACGCUGGAAAAGCACCCAGAGGAAUCAAAACCAAUUGGAUAAUGCACGAAUAUCGACUCGCUAAUGUGGACCGGUCUGCUGGCAAGAGCAAUAAUAACUUGAGGGUAAGCGCUCUCAGAUUCUGGAUUUAAACCUGAAUCCAAAUUUUAUUAUUAUAAUCGAAAUUUUGUUAUUUGUACUUAUUUAGUGAACUUUUUGCAGCUUGACGAUUGGGUAUUGUGUCGAAUAUACAACAAGAAGGGCACACUUGAGAAGUAUUACAAUGUGGAUAACAAGGAACAUUUGGGCUUCGAUGAAGUUGAGGAAGAAGAGGAAAAACCAAAAAUUUUACCAUUUUCACAAAGUAAUGAGUUGAUAGCACAAUUAGCACCAGCGCCGAUGCCACCGCGGCCACAAUCGAUGCCGGGCUACUUUCACUUUGAAACGUCCGAGUCGAUGACUAGGAUGCAUACAACAAACUCGAGCUCUGGGUCAGAGCAUGUUUUGUCGUCGUGUAAUAAGGAGGUCCAAAGUGCUCCCAAAUGGGACGACCUCGACAAUGCCCUUGAUUUCCAGCUAAAUUAUUUGGACAGCUUCCAAUAUGACCCUUUUGAGCCCCAAAUGCAGCAGCAAAAUUGCAACAUUGAUCAGUUCAAUUCUUUCCAAGACAUGUUCGUAUACAUGCAGAAACCUUACUAAUCCGGCGCGAAUAUCUCCCCUACUAAUUGUAUAAUCAUGGCAAUUGGAUUUAACUGAUUGUGAUCCAAGGCCUCCUCUUAGUUCUUUCAACUUUAUUCUUUGGUGUAGGUCAAUUUG